rnacentral:tRNA from 1 species
GGAAGCGUCGCAUAGUGGCCUAGUGCAACAGGUUGCUAACCUGUACCAGCGAAAGUUGGUUCGUGGGUUCGAAUCCCACCGCUUCCG